rnacentral:lncRNA from 1 species
CUCAACGUUAAAAUUCAACAAAAACUAAGCACCCAUCACCUCAAUCACGAUAAAUCCGCCUGAUUUUGGGGCUUUUGUAGAGCCAACAGCUACAAUAGCUUUUUUAAAUUUUGAAAUUGAGAUUCUUGAAGAAGCCGUUGCAUCCCUUUUGCCUAUAAAAAGGGAGUUUUCUUCACAAUGAAGGCACCAAGAAAAAAAAGGAUUAUCAAAUUAGCAUUUAAAAUAUCGGUAUACUGUUACUCUCGCCCUCUUUCCAAAUUCAGUCGGAAGUUCGAGUUUGAGUUCGAGUUAUAGUUUCCGACGAAAAAGCGUUAGUUCGCUGUCCCCCACAAGGUAAACUCUAUCCCGUCUAAUUUUAUUAUAGUUAUAUUUCGAUGAUUCGCUGAUCGUUUUGAGUUUAUUAUUUUCAUUUGGCCGAUCAUAAGCAUAAACCUGAGAUGAAAUAGCAUCUGGCUAUCCGAUUUCGUUCAUCGUCUAAUGUUUAUGGAAUAUCUUAUUUCGUGAUUUGAUUUGGAUAUUUUAAAAUUGAAAGUCUCGAUUGAAGUAGACUGCUUUAUCUUGGUUGGCUGUGAAUGCAUAUUUGAAGCACUUAUGUAUCGCUUAGUUAUUUGGGUUGUUAACUGUUGGUUUUGAAGAUAAAAUAUGUGAAAUAAUAAUUUGUUUUGGCUUUCUGUUUCAUUUAACUUGGUCACUGCGUGGGGUUUGUUUUUGCCUUUAAAUAUGUAAUAAUAUGUAGAGUAAACAAUAUAGUUUGGAAAAGUUGUGUCUGGCUGAAAAUAAAGAGUAUGUCGAUCUACAAUGUAAAAUUCAUCUUGUUAUCUCGUAUCUAUCUCUUUCUAGCCCGUCUGUUCUUGUUCUGUGAAUACGUGUUUCUCUUCUUGUUUCUUUGUUUUCAUUGUUUGUUCUCGGUAAAGUAAAGCAACAACAAUGACAUUAAUUUCUAGUAUUCUAUAUUUGUAAUUCUGCACUUAUGUUUUACCUUAGUGUAGUUAAUAUUUCUAGUGUCAUAGUUGAAGACAUUCUAUGAUAUACUAACUUGUUGUCAGGUACUUUUUCCCUUGCCUUAUCUAUUCUUUAAUGUAUAUUUACACUUUUAUAUCUAUAAUAGCAGAAAAACAUUAAUCAAGUUGUGGGAAAUUUUAUUUGUCUGGAUAAGCUGUAGACAUCUAUAUAGGACAAUAUGUACCUUUUGUGUUUCCUUGUUAUUUUUGUGGAGUGAGCUCUAAAAGGAGUAUGUGGAUCGUCCCGUCUUGCUUUUUUCGUCACUCCUCCUGUCUCGUUUUAUAUCAUACGAGCUGCUUACAUGCGGAUAUGUGAUGUAUGUGGUUAUUUGAGAAUAUGGCUUAAAUCACUAUCUGAAUAAUAUAGAAUGAGAAGGACUUAUAAGAGCGAUCAAAUACAUGUUCUUGAGUUCAUUGUUUCCUUUGGUUUCAUAACGUGAAUAUGGAUGUAGUAAUUUAAGCAUCAAAUAUUUGUGAGUUUGUAUUGUUUCAUGACCACUGUCCAUCUAGAUAUUCUAUUAUGUGUUUCAAUAUUGGGAAAAGUUCAAACCAUCCAAUAAGUGUAGCUCAAAGGUUUAAUGGUAAAGUAGUUCUAGGCAGAAACGAUGGAGCGUCGAAGUGUGGUUGUUUCUUGUUGUAGCCGAGCACGUAUACUUUCAGUUGUCGCAGAUAAUUCUUUUGUGAACUUCGUUAGCCUGGCCGAAUCAGUAGCUCUUGAGCCAAUUGAUGGCUUUUGGACUUCGUUUGACGUGUUUUCUGAAUUUAACGUCGAUGAUUUUUUCUAGUUAGUAGAUGAGCUAGCAUUCAGAUUGUUUCUACUUUGCAGUUCACCCUCAAUAGAUCCAUCUGACUGUUGGUUUGGUCCCGUCUCACUAUCUCUUAGACUUCCAUGAUUAUCUGGAGACCUCAUGGUUGAGUUGUCCGGUGGGUCUGACCUCCGUGUAAUCAGGACUUUGCUAGGGAAACUGCAUCCCUUUAGCACCCUUGGAACAUUUCUGAGAGUUUGGUUGAAUCUGGAACCUAUAGUAGCAUUCUUUCAAUCUUCCUCGUUGCAUAUUAGAGUAACACUUCAAUCAAUUCUUUAGUAUUUUUAGAUGGUGUAUGAGUAUAUCUCAUUUGAUGUUGAUGUCUAUUCCCUUACGAAUAGAAUUUACGAAAACUAUGUGGUCUCGUUUCUCCUUUUCGUUUAGAUACUUUGUAGUGUCAUGAUCAAAUAUGCAAGACACGAAGAAAUUUUCAUUUGCGUGAACAUUUUAUUUGCACAAGUUGUUUGUUCUGUUGCAAACUAAUUACCCUAUGUUGUCUUAUUUUGUUCGUCUCAAGAUGAAACGAUUUUAAUGAUGCCCUCAAAGCUGUCCCUUUUUUGCGGGAACAUUUUUCCAUAACAAUUGGAAAUUUGGUCUGUCUUGAGGUGUAGUUACCAGAAGUUCUUUUUAAAGAAAAGAAAUGCCUUAUCUUUUCCUAUAAUGUUUGAUCAUGUAUUCAUCGGCAAAUUCUCAUCAACUAGUUGUUCUAAAGUUAUUUCCUUGUUGCCAUGGACUACAUACACUCUUCUUAUUUUUUAGAAAACUCAAGCUAUGUAAAUUGCGAAAAUGUUUGGCUUACAUGUUUAUAAGAUGCUAGUUGCUUUAUCUUAUCGUGAAAGGGGUUUUCAAGGACUUAAUAUAUUUACAGACGUUUGGUUGCGCGCCAUGAAAUUUGAAUUUUUCUCACUUGGACACUUGAAUACGACGUCAUGUUGGUAUUAUUUUCAGAUAGUUAUUUAUUUAACAAGAUGUUAACCGCUAACUUAGCAUAAAAACAGGUUAUACGAGCCUUAAGUCUUGAAAAGUAUUUCACCACGUGUUGAAGUUCUCUGUUUUGUUCAAUUUCCUAAGAGUAUUAACCUGAGUGUUAAAAAUGCUUACUGAAGCUUGUGAAAUCAACGUAAAGGUAGUAUUAGCCUAGUGUUGCCCCCUUCUUUUAGAGAAAUGUUGAAAAGGCAUAUUAUGUAUAUUUCUAGUGGUUGCCUUAGUGGUUGGACUACUAGAUAAAGUUAGCCUAUUUAUCCAAAACAAUGUAGAUGUGAUAUUUAGUGUGGUAGAAUCUUUCUUUGUGCGAUGUGGUGCUCAUACGCCACUCUUAUGUCCUUGCACUUUUACUGGUUUAUUGUUGUUAGUCGUAAAAUUUAGUUUCUACGAACUUUUCUUUAUUAAAAUAUUUUGUUAAUGUGAUCAUAUUAUGUUAUUUAGUUAGUCAAUCAGUCACUAAUCCUUAUCUUUUUUCUUUGCUUCAUGGGAACUCAAGAGCGCGUUUGGAGUCUCACGGCUUGACUCCAUCACUGUCCAAAUCAGAGAAGCGACAUAACAGAUGCAUUGCUUAUCUUCGUCUAGCAGUCUAGUUCCUCAUUCCCUUUUUCUUCAAGAUUUAGUUUUCUUCUGUAGACAAUCAUUAUUAUUUUUGUUCUACAUCUCUUUUACAUUAUUAUUUGUGUUUUGUAUGUUCUUGUUUGAAUUAAUGUGAAUCUUUAAUGUGCUAGCAAAUUUAUUUGUUUCCUCUUUGCCGCUUAGAUAUUAAAUUAGCAUAAUCACUAGGUUUCGGUAUGUAAUUUAUAUGUUAAAAGGCUGAAAUUUGAUAGGUUUAAAAUGUAUCUUUUAGAAUAAAUUGCCUUAUCUUUAGAAUUAAAUUAGUUUCUCAUUAGUUACUAGUUUCAAAUUAAUAAAAUAUAGGUUUUCAUAGUAGGCGAAUUUACCAUCGCUAGGCUCGGGAAUUAGUCUCAAUUAUUUUAGAUAUGGUAAAUCAAUUUCAUUGUCAUCAAUCUUAAAUAAAAAUUAUAAUUUUGCCAAUUUGUUGUUUCCACAAGGACUUUUUUGGGAUUUCAAAUAACAAAAAAGAUUUUUUUUUUUAUUACAUGAGUCAUUCAUAAUAAAAAUAAAUUCUCAAGUUAUUUUAAACUUAAACAACUAUAUUUUUAGCUACUCAUUUAGUGUGUAGGAUAAUUAACUAUUAGAUGAAGAAGAAGAGCAAAAGAGUCAUUCUCCUUAGAAUACAACAACAACAACAACAGACCCAGUGUAUUCCCACCUAGUGGGGUCUGGGGGGUAAGAUGUACGCAGUCCAUACCUCUACCUCUGAUAAAGUAGACAGGCUGUUUUCGAAAGACCCCCAGUUCAAGGCACGAGAUACCACACAAACACAUAGUAAAGCACAGAAGCAGAUUACAUAACAUAAAUACGGCACCCAUAAGUAAUAUAAAACAGAGGGAAGCAGAGGAAAGCACACAGAUUCGUAAUAAAACAUGUAACACGGAACACAGAAUCAUAACAGAAAUAAAACCCCCACCAAGUAAUCGCUACACUAGCGACCCAAACUGGCCCUAAUCCUCUGCCGUAAUUCGCAUCUUCUAGACCUUCCUAUCUAGGGUCAUGUCCUCGGUGAGCUGUAACUGUUCCAUGUCCCGCCUAAUCACCUCACCCCAGUACUUCUUCGGUCUACCCCUUCCCCGUCUAAAACCAUCCAACGCUAGCCUCUCACACCUACGGACCGGGGCAUCCAUGCCCCUCCUCUUCACGUGUCCGAACCAUCUCAAUCGUGCUUCCCGCAUCUUACACUCCACUGAAGUCACACCAACCUUCUCCCGGAUAGUCUCAUUCCGAACUCUAUCCCCUCGAGUCAGUCCACACAUCCAGCGCAACAUCCGCAUUUCUGCCACCUUCAUUCUUUGGGUGUGGGAGUUCUUAACUGGCCAACACUCCGCUCCAUACAGCAAGGCCGGACGGACUACCACCCUAUAGAAUUUGCCUUUAAGCUUGGGCGGCACCUUCUUAUCACACAGCACCCCCGAUGCGAGUUUCCACUUCAUCCAUCCCGCCCCAAUACGGUGCGAGACAUCCUCGUCAAUCUCACCGUUACUCUGGAUCACGGACCCGAGAUACUUGAACUUAUCCCUCUUCCCUACCUCCUGUGCUUUCUUGCUUCUGCUCACCCUGAACCCUUUAGACUCAAGAGUUUGCCUCCACACCUCUAACUUGUCAUUCACACCCCCUCGAGUCUCAUCUAUCAGAACUACAUCGUCUGCAAAAAGCAUACACCACGGCACCUCCCCUUGUGAAAUCAUUUGAAAUAAUUUCAUCAUUUGUUAAAAGGUUAUAUGAAAAAAAUCAUUUUAGUAUUAGUUUGACGAGUAGAUUUUAUGGCGAGGAUGUUCCAAAAUUUUUCUAAUCGUUUUCUUAUAAAUAACUAACGCAUGUUACGUUUAGUAAGACAUGUAUAUCUCUUAAACUUGGCCUACAUCUUAUCUUAAUUUAAUAUUUGAUUUUCUUAUCUAAUCUAAGUUUGGUCGGUAAACCGUAGUUAGCGGAUCCUUUAGGGUGCCUAAUCCCUUCCCUUUAGGAUAACUAGAACCCUUACCUAGAAUCGUUUAGGUUAAGUAGACGUUAAAAUGAAGUCUUUAAUUGCUUUAAUCAUAGUGUAUAAUAGGUGUCCUAAUUCACCGUAGAACUAAUUAGGUGGCGACUUUCUUAAUUUUAUUAGAAGUUUUUCAAUAUGUCGUACCUCGGUUUGACCCGUGUUAAAAUGGGGUAUAACAACUUGGCGACUUCACUGGGGAAUACUUAUGUUCUUAACCAUAACAAACUUAAGUUAGUAAUUAAGUCUUUUUAUUUUGUUAUUUGUUUCACCCUAAUUGUCUUCUUUUUUCAUGUUUGUAUGGCGUAAAUUAUUUAUUUGCUAUUGUUUUGUAUAAAUUGCUUACUUGUUUACUGCUUUGUAAAUUGGCAUUCCGUUCAUAUUUCCUCCACUUUAGAAAAUUGACACACACACAUUGUGCAUGCAGAUUGUACAUUGUACUUUCCCAAAAUUCUUUCAAGUCACCAAUUUUAGAGAGUCGGCGCAUACGUAGGGUGAGCGAGAGUUUUAUUGUCGUGGGACCACGUGCUUUCUCAUGUAGGAAAUCCAAGUCCGUGUUUACCCAAAUCUUAGAAAAACUUAAGAUAGAGUGUUGCCACCCUUGAUUUAGGCCAUGCAUAUGCUUAAGCCGUAGGUUGUUUGACCCAUGGUGUAUUCCACGAAUUUAGGAAACGCUUUUAUGUCAAAAGGGUUCACAACCCGACGUCGACCUUCAUAUGAGUUUGGAAAAGCAUUUGCUUAUGUUGUCUUCUUGUAGGUUGCUAGAAUAGAUAACUUACCUAAUUCUGCCAACACCCAAAUGAUUGUGUGUGUACCACUUAAGCUAAGGAGAUGGUGGGAGAACAUCAAGAUGGAGCAUGGGUUCGAGAUUAGGAGAACUUUGGGUUUCUUGACAUCAUUGAUCUACAUCCUUUCUGACAGACAUAUAGUCAAGGCAUUGCUCAAGUUCUGGGAUUCCAAGUAUCAAGGAUGGGGUAUGAUCUUACCUCGCAAACAGUUAGGAACGAAAUUCUUGCACCUUCUUGGGCUCAAAAACAACCUCAAGCUUGCAUGUUUGGAUCGUGAUUGGAUUUCUCUUAACUACUUGUAUGAAAUAUUUGGUCGCAAGGAUGGUCACAAGGUCUUUAGCAGGGAAUUCUCUUGUUCUACUGAGAGUUGGAGAAAGAAACGUCAUAUCGCUUUUGCCAUUGCUUUACUAGGUAUUCUGGUUUUUCCUUUGGAGCAUGGAAGGAUUGACACUUUCCUUAGUUUCGUGGUUCGAGAUCUCUUUCGUGGGGUUGAAAAUGCUAAAGUUAUACACUGGUUUCGAUGAUUGUAGCAGAAAUGACGAGAGAACUGUCCAAAUGUGCCAGAGAAAGAAGGUUCUUUGAAGGAUGCAAUCUCCUUCUUCAGAUUUGGGCUGUAGAACAUUUCUAUAGACGUAACGCCAUGGUCGACAUACUCUUUAGCAGACCUAAUAGGAUCGACUCUCAUCUACAAAUGAUGGCAAAAUUUGUAGCUCCUGUGGGUACACAUGAUUGGUAUGCAUUCAUAAGGGUGCUCACGGGCAAUCAAAUCCAAUGGAGGUACCCAUGGUUGUCACCUCGCGCUGCCGUCAUCAGGGGUCGUACGACAUACUAUAUUGAACUUAUUGGCUUGAAAGGUCUUCAACCAUGUGCUCCCUCAUGAGUGCUUCGAAAAGUUGGACAUCAAGUCAUUAUUCCACUUUGUUUGGAUAUGAGCAGAUUUGAGGUUGAUUUCGGGCCACUCUUUGAGAUUCCUAGAACAAUGGAGUUGCUUCGAGAAUGGAGAAAUUUGAUGACAAUACAUGUGCUUAACGAGCAAGUUUACUAUACUCCAGAGUAUUAUGUGUGGUUAUCAGUAGCAGCUAUGGAGGAUGCAGGCUUUAACCGUCAAGGACAAGCCGUUGGGUAUGAAGAUCUUGAAGAAACAGAACGGGCACAUGGUAUCCUGAUCAACCACUUUGUCAUCCCACCUAAAAUAUGGGAACAAGUCAUUCCCGAAUCUUUGGCACACUUUGGAGCAUGAGGACUUAGUUUAGUGCCUAGAAUUUCUUUUAUCAUGUACUUUCUUUAUGUUUUGGCUAGGAUUUUUGUUUUAUUAUCAUGUACUCUCUUUAUGUUUUUGAAAUCAAUGUAAUGGUCUAAUGAUGACAUUUAAAUGAAGUAGUUUGUUUCUCAUUUUCUAACUCCAAACUCGAGCAAUGUCAUUAAUUAAGAUCAAUUUUCAUUAUCCCAAUUAUUUGGCGUAUAGGCCCACCUCUUGGCGUAAAAGAGGUCCCAUGCAUAAUAUGAUGCGUUUUUUAUUGUUGAAAUUUCUUUUUAUUAUGUGCUUUAUUUGCAACAUGAUGCACGUUUUUCUUACAUAGUUUGCUUAAUUGCAAGUUAUUUUAUGCAUACAAAUUAUUUGCCUAUUUUCUCUUGAAGGUUUUCUUUCCUCUAAUUUAUUCCCCCAAAGGUUGAUUUGUGUUGACUAUGAACUGGCUGAUCACCCAUACUUUAUGAGAUCAAAAGCAUGAGCAAACGCCAAUAUGACUGAUUCAUCAUGUCCUUCAUGAUGAACAUAUAGCUCAUAUGAUGCAACAAAUGGCCGACAUACAAAGUGAAAUCGAUCGACUUCGAAACCUCACCAAACUGUCCAUUAGCAUGAAUACUCCACUUCCUGAACAUGGAACAAAUACCACUAUUCCAUCUUCUUUUCCUCCUAUUUAUCCUCCCAUCCCUAACAUUUCCCACCAAAUCCAUUAGUCCACCAAAACAACCGUAUUCCUACCAAAUCUCCCGUUAACCCAUAAGAAAACAACUCGCAACAAUUCGACUCGUAACAAACAAAAACCCAUUACCCUUCACUACUCCAUAUGUUCCUCAAGCUCCUAACCAAACUUCAUUUGCCCAAGCUCCACAUACCCAAAAUACCUCACUUACCCAAACUACCCAGUUGUCCAAAACCACCAAGUGGCCCCACAUAUAUUGGUGGCACAUGCUGCAAUUCCUAACACGCAAUAUGUGCCACUAGUAUAUGUAGCGGGAGCUCAACCUUUCACUAUUCCAAUGCCGAAGUUGGUCCAAAUGAAGAGAUGGAAAAGGAAGUAAGGUCAAAAACAUAUAAAAAUGUAGCAAAGGAGAUUCACAGUUUAAAGAAAGCAUUCAUAAGCAUCCAACAAUAGGAAGGAUGUGAAGGACUUGAGUAUGAAGAUUUAUAUGUUCAUCCAGAUGUUGAUUUACCGAUAGGGUAUAAGGUGCCAAAAUUUGAUAUGUUUGAUGGAAGAGGGAAUCCUCGAGCUCAUUUAAGGCCGUAUUGUGACAAGCUAGUGGGAGUAGGGAAAAAGGAGGCCAUUAGAAUGAAGCUGUUCAUAAGGAGUUUGACUGGAGAAGCUCUAGAUUUGUACACGAGCCAAAACCCACAUAAAUGGCAUAGUUGGAAUGCCUUGGCACAAGAAUUUAUGGAUAGGUUCAGGUUUAGCACUGAAGUCAUCCCAGAUUGAUUCCACUUGAUGAAGAUGGAGAAGAAAUCAACAGAGUCCUUCAAAGAAUAUGCCAUGCGGUGGAGAUCAGACGCCGCGAAAGCUCAACCUCCUAUGGAGGAAAGUGAAAUGACUUCUCUUUUUGUGCAGUCUCAAAAAGAUGCGACGUAUUAUGACUAGUUGAUAAGCGUGGUUGCACAGAGAACUUCUGAGGUUGUUAGAAUAGGAGAAUUUGUUGAAGAAGGCACCAAGACGGGGAGAAUCACUAAUCUGGCAGCUUUACAAGCGACAAGUAAGGCAAUGCAAUCUGAUCCAACUAGGGGAGCGAACAAAAAGCUGCGACGUAUGGCGGAAAGUGAAAUGACUUCUCUUUUUGUGCAGUCUCAAAAAGAUGCGACGUAUUAUGACAAGUUGAUAAGCGUGGUUGCAUAGAGAACUUCUGAGGUUGUUAGUAUAGGAGAGUUUGUUGAAGAAGGCACCAAGACGGGGAGAAUCACUAAUCUGGCAGCUUUACAAGCGACAAGUAAGGCAAUGCAAUCUGAUCCAACUAGGGGAGCGAACAAAAAGAAGAAGGAUGGAGUUUCUGCAGUCAUAACCAUUCAGGAGAGGACCAAACCAAAUGUUAACAUACCAAAAUCCACUACCCUAUCCCUCCUAUUAUGACCAAUAUACCCAAGCUCCUCACCCGUAUUACCAACAUUUUACAUGCCCCAAAUCUAGUUUAUGCCACUCAGCCAAUAUAUUAUCCACCAUGAGCACAAACCUAUCAAAACCCACCACAAUAUCAACCCACCUAUCCUCCUCAAACCCACUACCAACCAUAAAAAUCGUCCUUCAAAUUCACCCAGUCCUCGUUCGAACUAUGAAAAAAGGCCAACCAAAACCUAUACACCUCUAGUUGAACCCUUAUUCCAACUGUAUGAAAGAAUGAGAACUGCAGGAGUACUCCAGCCGAUCUAAGGUAGAAUUCCCAAUCCCCUUCCUGGAUGGUAUGAUGGGACAAAGCAUUGUGCUUACCACUCUAGGGUUGCUGGGCAUGACACUGAGAAUUGUCUUACUCUCAAGGAUAAGAUUGAGGCGCUAAUCAAAGAAGGAGUUAUUCAGCUCAAAGGAGCUCCCCCCAAUGUGAACAACAAUCUCUUGCCAAAUCAUGGGGAUGCCCAUGUGAACAUGAUCACCAUUGAUGAAGAAUGUAAUUUGGAAGGGACUAUUGUAUCAGUCGGUGAUAAAGAAAAAAUGGAAACGUCAACUUUUGUCGCACCUGUAAUUACAGUCCAGAUACGAGCGAUACGAGCGCCAAUUGAAGUAGAAGUUGAUGUUCCCAAACCUACGAUCACAGCCUUAGUUACUCGAACACCUUUAAAUACUAAGGUAGUUCCUUGGAAUUACUCAACUGAUGCAAAGGACAAAGGAAAAGGAAAGUUCAUUUUAGAAGCUGCUGUUGCAGGAAUGACAAGAUCUGGACAUUGCUAUGCCCUUGAAGGAGUUGCGCAAGUAGUGUUUAAUAAGGAGAAUAGUCUGAAGAAAGUCCUGAUAGAGGCCGAGGUAGAGGAUUUUUGGAGGAAAAUGCCGACUAAGGAAUAUUCUGUUGUGGAGCAGCUGAAGAAGACUUCUGCCCAAAUCUCCUUGUUGUCAUUAUUGUUGAAUUCUUCAACUCAUAGGAGUGCUCUGGUAAAGGUGCUGAAUGAAGCUUAUGUGCCAACUGAGAUGACUAGCGAGAACCUUUCAGCUCUGGUAGGACAAGUCUUGGAAGCUAAUAUAGUCUCUUUUCAUGAAGAUGAGUUGCCGCCCGAAGGCCUGGGGCAUAAUAGAGCAUUAAACAUCACUGUCAGGUGUAAGGAUAAGUUUGUUUCUAAAUUUCUCAUUGACAAUGACUCAACUGUUAAUAUUUGUCCUUUUACUACCCUCCGAGCUUUGGAAAUUGACAUUGGGAAAGUGCACAAAAGUAAUGUAAAGGUUAAAGGUUUUAAUGGGACUCAAAGAGGAGUUAUUGGAGAAAUUGAUUUAUCACUACAAAUUGGACCUGUGGAGUUUACAGUAGAAUUCCAAGUGUUGGACAUUUCUGCUAGUUACAAUUUGUUGCUCGAAAGACCAUGGAUUUAUAGUGUUGGUGCAGUCCCUUCUACCCUGCAUCAGACUUUGAAGUUUGUCUGGGAUUAUCAUGAGAUUGUGAUUCAUGGAGAGAAGAAUAGUUCUAUCUACCAACAGAACUCAGUCCCUACUAUUGAACGAGUAGAACACCUGGACGGAUCCAUUUUUCAUGUUAAAUGGACCAUGUGUAUUGCUAAGGUAGAAAGGUUAAAGUUACCACGGGCCCUUAUGACGGUGGCCUUGGAAAUGUUGAAGAAUGGUUUUGUGCCUGGUCAAGGUCUUGGCAUGAACUUAGAUGGAAUACUAGAGCCAAUUCAAUUGUAUGAGCCUACUCCUGAAGAAGUCUCAUCGGCUAAUCUCAAAAGGAAAGAUGACAUUCUCCUGCCAAAGCCUAUCCUAUUCCUAGAUCAGUCAUUUUCCAAAGCAUUUGUUGCCCAAAUAUCAGAAGAAGAUGCUGAAGAAGACCUCAUUGAAGGAGUCAAAAACUUGUUCAUUACUGAAGAAGAAGAAGAUGCUGAAGAAGACCUUGUUGGAGGAGUCAAAAACUUGUUCAUUACUGAAGAAGAAGCUGAGUGCAAUAUGAUUUUGGAGGAUUGCACGAGACCCUGACUAUUUGGGAUACUGAGCCUGGAGAUGCUUGCUUUGAACAAUUGGACUUGUACCCCAUCCCUGGUUCUUCGGGAAUCUUAGUAGAUAAUUGUAUGAGUAUUUACAACACGAUUCUAAAUUGAGGCCUAAAUCAUCUUUAUGAAUUUAUGUGUUUUGCCUCCACUUUUUGAAAGCUUAAAUGCCAAAUCCAAAUGAUGUUUUGCUAUUUUUAUUUCAAAUCGUCUUCAUUAAUUUAUUUCCUCUUUUUUCCUUUUUCAGCAAGCAAAGUAACAAAUCUGCCAAUACUAUGAAUGUGACACAUAUAAUGAAACAAGCGAAAUAAUUCCAAAUAGCGAACACGAUUUUGUAUAAUAUGAAGAAGAUCUGAAGAGUUGACUAAAGAAUUUGAACAUUUUGAAAAUAAGGCAAAACCAAAUUUGGAUAAAACUGAGACAAUAAACUUGGGGGAUGCGGAACUCAUCAGAGAAACAAGGAUUAGCGUUCAUUUGACUCCAUCCCAAAGGAAUGAAUUGAUUGGUCUUUUGAAGCAAUAUAUAGAUGUGUUUGCAUGGUCCUAUGAUGAUAUGUCGGGUUUAAGCACAAACAUUGUUUCUCAUAGGUUGCCAACUGAUCCAUCUUGUCCUCCUGUAAAGCAAAAACCAAAAAAGAUGAAGCCUAAUUUAAGUUUGAAAGUCAGGGAGGAAAUGUCCAAGCAAUUCGAUGCCAACGUCAUUCGAGUUACGAAGUAUCCCACUUGGUUGGCCAACAUUGUACCCGUGCUAAAAAAAAUGGAAAAAUCAGAGUAUGCGUGGAUUAUUGGGAUUUCAACAAGGCUAGCCCAAAGGGUGAUUUCCCUCUACCAAAUAUUCACAUACUCUCAUUGAUUGCUUCGUAGGUUACCAUCAGAUCCUGAUGAACGAGGAAGAUGCCGAGAAAACUGCAUUCAUCACACCUUGGGGAGUAUAUUGUUAUCGAGUGAUGCCUUUUGGACCCUAGAACGCAGGGGAAACUUAUGUGAGGGCCAUGACUUCCAUUUUUCACGACAUGACCUACAAGGAGAUUGAAUUCUAUGUUGAUGAUGUCAUUAUCAAGUCGCGAAAGAGCUUAGAUCAUUUGAAAGAUUUGAGAAAGUUCUUUGACAGGUUGAGACGGUACGAUCUGAAAUUGAAUCCUGCAAAAUGUGCAUUUGGUGUCCCCGCUGGAAAGCUAUUUGGUUUCAUCGUGAGUAGGGAAGGCAUAGAAUUGGAUCCUUUAAAAAUAAAAGCUAUCUAAGACUUGCUUUCUCCAAGGAGUCAAAAGGAUAGGAUGAGUUUCCUAGGUCGACUCAAUUACAUCAACUGAUUUAUCGCACAAUCCACGGUUAUUUGUGAACCAAUAUUUAAGUUAUUGAGAAAGGAUGCAGCUACAAAGUGGAUAGAAGAUUGCCAACAAGCUUUUGACAUAAUCAAGGAUUAAUUUGUCUAAUCCAUCCAUUUUGGUGCCUCCAGAACCCGGAAGGCCAUUGUUGCUAUAUUUGUCUGUGUCAGAAAAUGCAUUUAGGUGUGUUUUAGGAUAACAUGAUGAAACUGAAAAGAAGGAACAAGCCAUAUAUUAUUUGAGCAAGAAGUUCACGCUUUCUGAAGCUCGGUAUACAUUAUUGGAGCGUACAUGUUAUGCCUCGACUUGGAUUGCACAAAAGUUAAGGCAUUACAUGUGCGCGUAUACCACUUUUCUUAUCUCCAGAAUGGAUUCGCUCAAGUAAAUCUUUCAGAAGACCAUGCCUACCGAAAAGCUAGCAAAGUGGUAGAUUUUGUUAAGUGAAUUUAACAUUAUUUAUGUUACUCAAAAGGCGGUGAAGGACAAGCUUUAGCUGACCAUCUUGUUGAAAACCCUAUAGAUGAAGAGUACAGGUCUCUUAAAACUUAUUUACCGGAUGAAGUUCUAAUUAUUGAUGAAGAAGAUAUUUCAUAAGCAUAUCCAGGUUGGAGAAUGUUCUUUGAUGGGGCUGCAAACUUCAAAGGAGUUGGUAUUGGGGUAGUACUAAUUUUGGAGUCGGGCCAACAUUAUCUGAUCUCAGCAAAGCUCAGAUUUCCGUGCACUAACAAUAUGGCAGGAUACGAGGCUUUCAUUCUUGGUCUUUGAAUGGUUGCUGAUAUGAACAUACAGGAACUGUUGGUUAUAAAAGAUUCAAAUUUAGUGGUUCAUCAAGUACAAGGAGAAUGGUGUGUCAAGAACGUGAAGCUACUUCCAUAUCUGGAGUGUGUGAAAGAGUAGCUCAAGAAGUUCAUUAAGGUUGAAUUUAAACAUGUCCCAAGAACUCAAAAUGAGUUAACAGAUGCAUUGGCAACUCUGUCCUCUAUGAUUCAACAUCUAGACAAGAAUUUCAUAGAUCCUAUCAAGGUGAAUAUACAAGACGAACGAUAUACUGUUUUCAUGUAGAUGCAGAACCAAACGGCAAACCCUGGUACUACGACAUCAAAAGGUAUCUCAAGGAAGGAGACUAUCCAGAAGGCAUAACCAGUAUUCAAAAGAGAACACUCCGGAGAUUGGCAAAUCACUUCUUCCUAAGUGGAGAUAUCCUUUAUAGGAGGACUCCAGAUUUAGAAUCGUUAAGGUGUGUCGACGCUCAAGAGGCUACCAAGUUAGUUGAAGAGAUACAUGGGGGCAUGUGUGGGCCGCAUAUGAAUGGUUUUAUUUUGGAAAAGAAGAUUCUUCAGGCUGGCUAUUUCUGGAUGACUAUAGAAACAGAUUGCAUUCACUUUGUGUGAAAAUGUCAUCAAUGUCAGAUUCAUGGUGACUUGAUUCUUGUUCCACCAAAUGAACUCAAUGUGACGAGUUCUCCUUGGUCGUUUGUAGCUUGGGGCAUAGGUGUCAUCAGUACUAUUGAGCCAUCUGCAUUAAAUGGACAUAGGUUUAUUUUGGUAGCUAUUGAUUAUUUCACCAAAUGGGUAGAAACCUCUUCAUACAAGUCUGUAACAAAGAAGUUGGUGACAAACUUUGUUCGCAAUAACAUUAUUUGUCGAUUCGGAGUUCCGAAAUUAGUUAUAACAGAUAAUGGAGCUAAUCUCAAUAAUGGCUUGAUGCGUGAGAUAUGUCAGAAGUUUAAGAUUACUCAUCGUAAUUCCAUCCCUUACCGUCCUCAGAUGAAUGGAGCAGUUGAGGCCGCCAACAAGAACAUCAAGUGAAUAUUGCGGAAGAUGAUUAAUAACUAUAAGCAUUGGCACGAGAAUUUUUCGUUUGCCCUCUUUGGCUAUCGCAUCACUAUUAGGACAUCUACUGGAGCAAUACCUUAUCUGUUGGUUUAUGGAACAGAAGCAGUGUUACCCGCAGAAGUAGAGAUACCAUCUUUGAGAAUCAUUUAGGAAGCUGAGUUGAGCGAUGCCCAAUAGAUUCAAAACCGGUAUGAACAAUUAAUGUUAGUUGAUGAAAAAAGGAUGAACGCAAUUUGUCAUGGGCAGCUUUAUCAGAAUAGAAUGGCCAAAGCUUUCAAUAAGAAGGUACGAUCGAGACAAUUCAAGCCAGGACAAUUAGUGAAGCGCAUAUUUUCGCACCAAAAUGAGGCUAAAGUGUUGAAGCGCAUAUUUUCGCACCAAAAUGAGGCUAAAGGAAAGUUUGCACCCAACUGGCAAGGAACUUACAUCGUUCAUCGAGUACUGACAGGUGGAGCAUUGGUCCUAGCGAAAAUGGAUGGUGAAGUGUGGCCGAAAGCCAUCAAUGCAGAUGCUGUUAAGAGAUACUAUGUUUAGAAGUCUUUUUCUCAUGUGAUGUUCCUUUCGCUAUGUAAUGAAACUAUGAAUGACCUAAUUCCCUUGGGGGAAUACGUAAGAAACCCACGUCGGGUUUGGUCUUUUAAGUAGAAAUUUCCCAAAAAAUCCCUCUUUACUGAUAAUGCGAACUACGGUUGACCUGACUUCCUUGGCGGAUACGUAGGUGGUCCACAUCAGCCUCGGUCACAUUAGAAGAAAAAUCAUUUCCCCCCUUUCUAUUUCAUAUGUAAUGAACUAUGUUCGGCCUGAUUCCCGUGGGAUACGUAGGCAACCCACGGAGGGUUUUGCCUCUUAGUUUUAAUUCUCUUAAAUAUAUUUUAUGAACUACGCUUGGCCUGAUUCCCUUGGCGAGAUACGUAGGCAACCUAUACAAGGCUCGGUCUCAUCAUCUUAGAACGUCAACAUCUUUCUAGUCAAAGCUGGGACAGCUUUUAAAGGGGCUUUAUUUCGAGAAAUGAUUGAGAAGACUUCAAGAGAUACCGAAGAGUGUGGGUUCAACCAAGUAGUUGAAAAAUGGACAUUCGCUUUGGACCAAGUAGUUGAAAAAUGGACAUUCGCUUUGGAUAACGGACGUUUGCAUUGUUUCACAACAUGUCACAGUUCAAAGUUUGGCAGAAUUCCUUUUACCACUAUGCAUAUUUGCAUAUUUUUAUUUAUCAAGUUAUUUGUCACUCUUAUCUUUAACUUUAAAUAGUUUUCAAUCAAAUAUUUUCUUAUUAUCCAUUGGCCCAAGAUAUGGGAUAAAUGGGGUAUGAGUCCAAACAAAGCUGGAAGCACGAAGUAUCAAGAGCCAGACCUUCAAAAGUCAACACAAAUCAACCAACCCCCAAACUUACAAAUUUUCUUCAACCAACCCCCAAACUUACAAAUUUUCUUUGAGUGCAGGUUUUGAAGAAUAGCAGAGAAGCCCAAAGUUGAUAAAAUUUGCGGGCUUGCAAGGAUUACACCUUAAACGGUUUGAAUUUCCUUUAAAAAAUUUAGGCGAAACCAUGUCUUUGUAGUAAUAUUUAUUAAAUGAUUUUGAAAAUCUUACAAAGAUUUCAAGCACCCUGCGCAUGACUUCCGAUUAGUCUAAAUAGAUACCUUUUAAUAUUCUGCACAAUUGUUUUCAAAUACUUAAAAUACACAAUACAUGGCUUUUAGGUAUUUUGCAUAUAUGCUCUAAAAGUACCCCGCAUGCACUGCAUAAUUUCCUUAAAUGCACUGCACAUGGCUACAAUGGCUCUGCAUAAGCGCAAAUAUACUGCAUAAUCGCUUUAAAUAGCUUUAAAAUGCACUACACGUGACUUUCAAUUACUUUGCAUAUGUGCUCUAAAAUGCACUGCACAAACAACAACAACAAAAAACCCAGUGUAUUCCCACCUGGUGGGGUCUGGGGGGGUAGGAUGUACGCAGUCCAUACCUCUACCUCUGAAGAAGUAGAAAGGCUGUUUCCGAUAGACCCCCGGCUCAAAUGCUUUAAUAUAUUUUUAAUGCAUUGCACAUGGCUUUACUGGUUUUUGCAUGGGCACAAAUGCACUGCACAAUUGCUUUAAGUUAUUUUGCACUAUGUAUGACUUUCAUUUUCUUUAAGAGCACUGCACAACCACUUUAAGUUAUUUUGCACUAUGCAUGACUUUCAUUUUUUUCUAAAGACACUGUACAAUCGCUUUUAAGUUAUUUCGCAAUAUGCAUGACUUUCAAUUUCUUCUAUAGCACCAAACAAUUGCUUUUAAAUGCACUGCAAAGUUGCUUUCUAAUAACUGCACAAAACUUAUGGAUGCACCAAACAAAUUCUUUAUAGAAAUUCAUUGCUUGCAAAAGUUAUUUUUUAUAAAUCAUUGGUGCAGAGAAAAUCCUCCAUCCGUCAAUCAUUUGGAUGAAAACCCCUAAUCUUCAUAAUUUACUUGGUUUAAGGCCUCAUUUUCAUCGCCGAAAGGCAUCAUUCACAUGAAUCGUUGGCCUAAAACUUUAUUUUUGCAUAAGCUUUAUUUUCGGCUUGCACGACUACAUUUGCAUAGAGUAACACUCGAGGUGUUAUUUUCAUUAAUUCGUUGAAUACAUCUACUAUUUAUGUACUAAUUGCUUUAGCUAGUUUAAGUUUUGCAGGAACCUUAGCACAAACGUGGAACUGUCUCUAAGCAACGAACUAGGGCAAAGCUAGCGGAAUGUCAAGCAUCCUUAGCAGCGGUGACGAUUCAAAGCUCGACUAGACUCAAUUUUCAAAAUUUCUCAUAUAACUUUCUCAAACCUUUUCACAAAUCUAUUCUCAUAUUCCAGUGUCAUCAUAAAUCUAAAACUGGGACAAAUUUUGAGAUUCUCUCAAAAUUUUUUGCAUUACAUAACUUUUGAACUACAGCGACCUGAUUCUCGUGAAACCCCGGGAUAUGUAGGAGACUCAAGAACCAGGGUUUGAUCGAAUUCAUAAUCAUAAUCGUGCCAAUUCUAGCAUCACCGUUCCACCUUUUAGGUGUAGCCUUCCCACCUAUUUAUCAGUCAAAACAAAAUUGGUUUACGUCAACGUCUUUGCCCAAAGAUUCUUUCAUCAUCUUUGGUCUAAGAGGGACAAGUUGUUGACACCCAAUUUUGACCCUCCUUUUUCAUAAAUUUAAUUUCUCGAUGUUUAGGAUGUUGAAUACUUUUCUAAUGUAUUUUCCUUAAUUUUUUACAUUAAUAUUUUGAAAAUGAUAUGUUCCUAUCUUUGCAUCUUAAUAAUUCACUCAAAAAUAAUAAAUAAAUAUAUUUUAAAUUAUCAUUUCACUACCUUUUCUAAAACAUAUAUAUAUAUAUAUAUAUAUGGUAGCGUAUUAACAUAAUCCUUGCUAUAGUAUCUUAUAACGCGUUAAAUUAAUCGAACAAAAUAAGCAUCGUUAAAUUAGUUAAGUGAAAUUGAUUUGAAAAAUUAGAUUGAUUAACUUAUCUGGUUGGGUCAUUUACAUUAGUUAGUUUCAGCCUUUUAAAUCUAACAAUUCGGCCCAACAACCACCAAGAUUCCCAACUCAACUUAAAAAAAAUCCCGACCCGGCCCAAAAACCCUCCUCCUAAACCAGCAAUCACCCCUAACAGCUUGUUUGGAUGGUGGUUUCCCAUGGUAUGGUAUGGUUACCAUGGGAACCAUGUUUGUUUCCAUGGUAUCCUAAAAAUGAUGGUAUGGUUUGGUACUAUUCCAUGGUUUGGGAACUAUGGAAUCCCCCAUUUUUCUGAACCACCAAUUUGGUGGUAUGCCAUGGUUUCCCUCUUUUUCUUCCAAUUAUGCCCCUGUAUAAUUCCCUCCACCCUAUUUUCUUAUUCUUUUUUCUGCUCUUUGCAGUAAUCUCCCAGCAUCUUCAACAGCAACAAAGGCGAGGCUUCUGCUAAAAGCCCAAGAAAAGAAAAACAAUGGCGAGGCUUUUCUUUGCAGUAAGCCCAAGAAAAGAAAAACUUUGGUCCUUCCGAUAAUUCUGCUAAAAAGUGAUCUAAGAGGCUAAGAAUUUCAGUUCAAAAGUUCAAACUUGGAAGGGUACCGAUGGUGAAGUUUACAAGAACAAGAAGGGAAUAGUCAAUUUUAGCAAUAAUCAAAUAGGGGUAUUUUAGUAAAUUUACCUGUUACCAUACAAUACCAUACAAUCAAACCAAACAAAAAAAACUAUUAUUAAACCACAGUGAACGAUACAGUCAAUCCAAACAUGGUAUUGUACUAUACUGCACUGUACUAUACCAUAUCAUACUGUACCAUACAUUAUAAAACCAGGGCAAACCACCAUCCAAACAAGCUGUAAAUCUUCUCAUUCCUCUUAACGUUAAAAUUCAACAAAAACUAAGCUCCCAUCACCUCAAAAACGAUAAAUCCACCUGAUUUGGGGGCUUUUGCCGAGCCAAUAGCUACAAUAGUCUUCUCCAUCACUUCAAGCUCUAAAAAUGAACUCUUUUUUGCUCCUUUUCCCACUUCCCUUUUUCAUUUUUUUGAAUUUUGAAAUUGAGAUUUUUGAAGAAGCCUUUGCAUCCUUUUUGCCUAUAAAAAGGGAGUCUUCUUCAUAAUAAAGGCACCAAGAAAAAAAAAAGGAUUAUCAAAUUAGCAUUUAAAAGAUCGGUAUACUGUUACUCAUUUUGCUGUCGCCCUCUUUCUAAAUUCAGUCGCAAGUCCAAGAUUGAGUUCGAGUUAUAGUUUCCAAUGAGAAAGCCUUAGUUCGCUGCCCCCCACUAGGUAAAUUCUAUCCCGUCUAAUUUUAUUAUAUUUAUCUUUCGAUGAUUCGCUGAUCGUUUUGAGUCUAUUAUUUUCAUUUGGCCAAUCAUAAGCAUAAACCUGAGAUGAAAUAACAUCUGGCUAUCCGAUUUUGUUCGUCGUCUAAUGUUUAUGAAAUAUCUUAUUUCGUGAUUUGGAUUGGAUAUUUUAAAAUCGGAAGUCUCGAUUGAAGUAGACUGCUUUAUCUUGGUUGGCUGUGAAUGCAUAUUUGAAGCACUUAUGUAUCACUUAGUUAUUCGGGUUGUUAACUGUUGGUUUUGAAGAUGAAAAACGUGAAAUAAUAAUCUAUUUUGGCUUUCUGAUUCAUUUAGCUUGGUCACUGCAUGGUUUUGUUUUUGCCUUUAAAUAUGCAAUAAUAUCUAGAUUAGAGUAAACAAUAUGGUUUGGAAAGGUUAUGUCCGGUUGAAAAUAAAGAGUAUGUCGAUCUACUAUGUAAAAUUCAUCUUGUUAUCUCGUCUCUGUCUCUUUCCAGCCCGUCUUGUUGUCUCGUCUCUGUCUCUUUCCAGCCUAUCUGUUCUUGUUCUGUGAAUACGUGACUUAUUUUUGGCUUUAAGCUAAAUUGAUGCUGUUGUCUGGUUUCUGGCAAAUUGAGUUCAAGAACAUGUGUUGCCUUGACUGACCUUUAUCACAACAUACAGUUGUUUUACCUAAAAUACUCUAAAACUUACGAAUUUGCUCUUCCGUCUCACCUUCACCGUCUUUUCUUUUAUCUCGUCUAGAUUUCGUGAACAUGUCAUUUUGGGUGAAUUCCGACCGAAAUUUGAAGGGUUGUUGUAGAAUCUAGAAAAAUGGUGUUGUAUGCAAACAUGUUUUCUGUGAAAUGUUGCUUACCCCGUUUUACUGUAUGUUUUUCACCUUAAGUUUCUGUGGUUUUACUGUAUGUUUCGACCAAAGCAUGUUUUCACCUUAAGUUUCUAUGGUUUUACUGUAUGUGUCCGUUUCGUACCUAAAAUACUCUAUACAUGAAGAACCCACUCCCUUUUGUUGUUUAUUAACAAAUACGAUCUUGUGGAGACAUGGAAGGUUAUGCUCUAUUAGGCACCUUGUUGGUGUGUCCUGUUACUUUCUUUGAGUUAAGGAGCCUAAUGAUUUUCCUCGUUAAUUAUUACUGCCACUUUUUUUCUUUUUUUUUCAAACUUUGUUGUUUCUCAUCUUGUUUCUUUGUUUUCGUUGUUUGUUCUCGGUAAAGUACAGCAACAACAAUGAUAUUAAGUCCUACUCUCUCUACCCUCUCUAACGGCUCUCUCACUCUCUCCCUACCCUCUCUCUCUCGCUCUCGCCUCGCCCCGGUCCACGGCCUUCGGCGCCGACCCGACCAGACCUCCGGCCCCGACCACC